CUGACUAGAGCUUGGUAUUAAGCAUUUUAUUUACACUAAAAAGUUAAUUGUGAAAUUCAAUUUAGUCUGA
rnacentral:tRNA from 1 species